CAAUUGGAGAGUUUGAUCCUGGCUCAGGACGAACGCUGGCGGCGUGCCUAAUACAUGCAAGUCGAGCGGAGU
rnacentral:rRNA from 1 species